UACGGAGGUGCAAGCGUUAUCCGGAUUCACUGGGUUUUAAGGGUGCGUAGGAGGGCAGGUAAGUCAGUGGUGAAAUCCCCGAGCUUAACUUGGGAACUGCCGUCGAUACUAUCUGUCUUGAAUAUCGUGGAGGUGAGCGGAAUAUGUCAUGUAGCGGUGAAAUGCUUAGAUAUGACAUAGAACACCAAUUGCGAAGGCAGCUCGCUACACGAAUAUUGACUCUGAGGCACGAAAGCGUGGGGAUCAAACAGG
rnacentral:rRNA from 1 species